CUAAAGAAAGGAAAGGAAGGAAUCCCAAAGAAGCAUGUUGUGUUCCCUGAAGCAUCUACAGCUUUUAGCUUCUACCUCACACUCUGAAAUACUGCUUCAACUCUAAUGAAGGCAAGUGCAUUUCUGCCAUCAGAAGGGAAAACAGCAAAGGGUGAGGAGGGAGUGAUGAUGGAAGUGGAGUAUUAACAAGAUUUGAUGAUGCACAGGAAUGAACAACAGGAAGACUGGUGAGGCAGAGCUUUCCAGAGGACUCACAUUCAGAGGCACAGAUUCCAGGCUGCUGCCUAGGAUCCCAUGAUUCCAGGCCCCCUCCAACCUCUGGGGUGCAUGUUUUAUUGCUGCCUGUCCAGGGAUCCUCUUCAUUUUCUCCUCUUCCAAUGACUUCAUUCUCUGUGCCAGUGAAAGCCAAGGAGUUCGGUUUUGUGUGCCAAGGAGCACAGCUGGGGCGACCCUGCAUUGGCUAAGCUUCCUGUGCCUGAAGAGAGAAAGGAACCUACGAAGCUCAGCCGGGGCUCUGGACAAGUUCCUGUGCCUUGAAGUUGCUAUUUAUGAGAUUAUGGUUAUGUGGAGAAAGAAAACAGAGCUGGAGACCUUGAUCUGGAUAGCUGACCUGGAUUUUUCAGAAGCAGAUAAUGAAAUCUAAUAUAUCUUGGUCAGGUCAAUGAUAAGAGAAGAGAAGAGGGGAGUAAAAGAGAGGGAGGAAAUCCUGCCUCCUUCAGGAAGAGACAUAGACAAUAUCACCUGGCUUUUGCUUUCUGUUUCUGGGAGAGGAUCUGAUUGGUAAGAUGGGUGAAGGAAUAAAGUGUAUCCUGCAGGACUUGUAGUCA
rnacentral:lncRNA from 1 species